UCGGGCUGAAGACUCUACUUGACUAGCUGAGAGGAGGUGCAUGGCCGUCGUCAGUUCGUACUGUGAAGCAUCCUGUUAAGUCAGGCACGAGCGAGACCCACGCCAACAGUUGCCAGCUCGUCCUCCGGGAUGGAGGGGACACUGUUGGGACCGCCUCUGCUAAGAGGAGGAAGGAAUGGGCAACGGUAGGUCAGCAUGCCCCGAAUUAUCCGGGCUACACGCGGGCUACAAUGGUCAGGACAAUGGGUAUCGACACCGAGAGGUGGAGGCAAUCUCCUAAACCUGUCCUUAGUUCGGAUUGUGGGCUGCAACUCGCCCACAUGAAGCUGGAAUCCGUAGUAAUCGCGUUUCAAAAUAGCGCGGUGAAUAUGUCCCUGCUCCUU
rnacentral:rRNA from 1 species